GAGGCUUUGGCAGAACUAGCUGAGAGGUUAGAAUUACAGUGGUUUGUUGCAGUGGGCUGAAGUCUGUGCAAAAGGAAUGAGAUGUAUUAUUUGAUCCUCACGACAACCCUUUGAGAAGAUCCCAUGCCACAGUGGAAAUAACCCUGCCUUGGAUCUCAACCAGCAAAGAAUGUGAAUAUUCCUAUGUAAUACAUGUAUUUGAGUCCUGAUUAUUCUUUCAUAGUCUUGAUUUCUUGGCCUUUGACUAAAGGAUGGACUUUAACUGCAUCUGGGACUUCUGAAAAAAGGCAAAUGUAGUCUGAAAGUCAGAAAGAUGAAAGAGAUAACACAAAGAGCUAGAGAGCUACUCUACCUGUGAGAGAAUAUGGCAGGCUCCUGGCAUAGAUGGGGAAUGGCCAACAAGUAGCUUUCCUUUCACAGAGGUUGGGAAGACAACCACAUAACCUCUGCUCAGUGCAUCAAGAGGGUGUGGGUCGCUAUCAUCAGUUUAAAGGCUGAGGAAAGCUCUAAAAGACGUACUCCUUCCCCAAAUCCCCUUUCUCUUGCUUGUUUGGUAACAACUGUUUGGUUUAAAAAACAAAAACAAACCCCCCAAACAACCUGAUUGUUUCUGUAGGUUGAUUUUUGCUUGAUAUAAAGAUCUGUGGUUAAAAAAAAAAAAUCAGUGGUUGAUCACAAAGGCAUUUACUCAAUUUAUACUUAGUCCAUGUUGAGCAAAGGGGAAUAGAGGAAGCCAGAGACUGCCAGGAAAUACAUGAAAUAUAACUAGGGCAGAGAUGUAAACCUCUGUUUAAAUGUUAGGCAUUUUCCUAACUACAGAU